AGUGAACGCUGGCGGUAGGCCUAACACAUGCAAGUCGAACGGCAGCACAGUAAGAGCUUGCUCUUACGGGUGGCGAGUGGCGGACGGGUGAGGAAUACAUCGGAAUCUACUUUUUCGUGGGGGAUAACGUAGGGAAACUUACGCUAAUACCGCAUCCGACCUACGGGUGAAAGCAGGGGAUCUUCGGCCCUUGCGCGAUUGAAUGAGCCGAUGUCGGAUUAGCUAGUUGGCGGGGUAAAGGCCCACCAGGGCGACGAUCCGUAGCUGGUCUGAGAGGAUGAUCAGCCACACUGGAACUGAGACACGGUCCAGACUCCUACGGGAGGCAGCAGUGGGGAAUAUUGGACAAUGGGCGCAAGCCUGAUCCAGCCAUACCGCGUGGGUGAAGAAGGCCUUCGGGUUGUAAAGCCCUUUUGUUGGGAAAGAAAAGCAGCAGGUUAAUACCCCGCUGUUCUGACGGUACCCAAAGAAUAAGCACCGGCUAACUUCGUG
rnacentral:rRNA from 1 species